rnacentral:ncRNA from 1 species
AAGGUUUGGUCCUAGCCUUGGAGUCAAUUCUUAUUUAAUAUACACAUGCAAGUAUCCGCACCCCAGUGAGAAUGCCCUUAUUUCCCCUCUAGGGAACAGGAGCUGGUAUCAGGCCCAAUAAUUUGCCCAAAACACCUAGUCUCGCCACACCCUCAAGGGUCUUCAGCAGUGAUAAACAUUGAGCAUGAGCGAUAGCUUGACUCAGUUAAACUUAUUUAGAGCCGGCCAAUCUGGUGCCAGCCGCCGCGGUUACACCAUCGUGGCUCAAAUUGACCCCCUUCGGCGUAAAGCGUGAUUAAAGUUUUCCAAACAACUGGAAUUCAACUAAAACUAAGCCGUGACACGCUUGUUUUUAAGAAAGCCAUAAACGAAAGUUAUUCCAAUUAAUUCAACUUGAACUCACGUCAUCUGAGAAACAAACUGGGAUUAGAUACCCCACUAUGCUCAGUCGUAAACUUUAACUUACUUCCUUCUCGCCAGGGAACUACGAGCUAAGCUUAAAACCCAAAGGACUUGACGGUACCCCAUAUCCCCCUAGAGGAGCCUGUCCUAUAAUCGAUAACCCCCGUUUAACCUCACCAUUUUUAGUUAUUCAGCCUGUAUACCUCCGUCGUCAGCUUACCACGUGAGCGUUAGUGAGCCAAAUGUUUUUUCAACCACACGUCAGGUCAAGGUGCAACAAAUGAAAUGGGAAGAGAUGGGCUACAUUUUCUAUAUUAGACUACACGAAAGACUUUAUGAAACCUAGUCAGAAGGCGGAUUUAGUAGUAAACUGGAACUAGAGAGUCCUUUUUAACCUGGCACUGGGGUGUGUACACACCGCCCGUCACCCUCCUCAAUGCUAACAAACAGUUUUUAACACCUUUAAGCAACAUAGAAGAGGCAAGUCGUAACAUGGUAAGUAUACCGGAAGGUGUACUUGGAAA